rnacentral:rRNA from 1 species
CGUGGGUGAUCUGCCCUGCACUUCGGGAUAAGCUUGGGAAACUGGUCUAAUACCGGAUAGGACCACGGUCUGCAUGGAUUGUGGUGGAAAGCUUUUGCGGUGUGGGAUGGGCCCGCGGCCUAUCAGCUUGUUGGUGGGGUGAUGGCCUACCAAGGCGACGACGGGUAGCCGGCCUGAGAGGGGUGUCCGGCCACACUGGGACUGAGAUACGGCCCCAGACUCCUACGGGAGGCAGCAGUGGGGAAUAUUGCACAAUGGGCGCAAGCCUGAUGCAGCGACGCCGCGUGGGGGAUGACGGCCUUCGGGUUGUAAACCUCUUUCAGCAGGGACGAAGGGUGACUGACGGUACCUGUAGAAGAAGCACCGGCCAACUACGUGCCAGCAGCCGCGGUAAUACGUAGGGUGCGAGCGUUGUCCGGAAUUACUGGGCGUAAAGAGCUCGUAGGUGGUUUGUCGCGUUGUUCGUGAAAACUCACAGCUUAACUGUGGGCGUGCGGGCGAUACGGGCAGACUGGAGUACUGCAGGGGGAG